GAUGAACGCUGGCGGCGUGCCUAAUACAUGCAAGUCGAGCGAACAGAUGAGGAGCUUGCUCCUCUGAUGUUAGCGGCGGACGGGUGAGUAACACGUGGAUAACCUACCUAUAAGACUGGGAUAACUUCGGGAAACCGGAGCUAAUACCGGAUAAUAUUUUGAACCGCAUGGUUCAAUAGUGAAAGACGGUUUUGCUGUCACUUAUAGAUGGAUCCGCGCUGCAUUAGCUAGUUGGUAAGGUAACGGCUUACCAAGGCAACGAUGCGUAGCCGACCUGAGAGGGUGAUCGGCCACACUGGAACUGAGACACGGUCCAGACUCCUACGGGAGGCAGCAGUAGGGAAUCUUCCGCAAUGGGCGAAAGCCUGACGGAGCAACGCCGCGUGAGUGAUGAAGGUCUUCGGAUCGUAAAACUCUGUUAUUAGGGAAGAACAAAUGUGUAAGUAACUGUGCACAUCUUGACGGUACCUAAUCAGAAAGCCACGGCUAACUACGUG
rnacentral:rRNA from 1 species